AAUUCAUUCAUAUCUGUAAAGCACUCUGAGAUCGUUGGCUGGGAGACACUAGAAAGGGGAAAGGAUCACUAUGAUAUAUUGGUAAAGCUGGAAAUACAAAGGCAGUGACUGCGAAGGGAUGACCCCCAUCAGGAAAGUUAGAGGGGCUAGGAUCAGCACCGGGGUCAGAGAGAUUUGCUCAGUACGAACUGUGUGGAGAGGAGGCUCAGAAACAGCAGCUGCUCCCGCUAGUCCCAGGAGUCCAGAGGACCUGGGGGGCCCGGCCCCUUGCCCUGCCGCCUGGGGGGAAGGGGCCCUGCAGGAAUCUUGCAGCCACAUGGAGGACAACCCUGGACAGUAACAAGCAGGGGUGGGUGCCGUGCGCCUGUGUCGCUUGUGGUCACCGUUCCUGCUGCCGGGUAGCGCGGCACACGGCGUUAGGGCUGUGCCAGACACAGAGCCCAUGCCACGAGGCGCAGAGUCACCCUGGGGGACGGGCAGUCCAAGCCCUUGCCCUACAAAGGCAGCCGCUGGCAUGAGGCCACCAGAGGUGACGGGCUCCCAGGAAUCGGUUGGGCCCAGUCAGGCAGCCUAACCCCCAGCCGAGGGAAAAGUGCCGCUCAGGUGUGGGCGCCAGUGACGGGGGGCCAGGACCGGGACUUCCUCUCCCCAGAGCAGCAGGGACAUGGAGUUCAUAGCACGUGAAAAAAGGAUGGACCUUAAGGCUGGCAAGUCAAGAAGUCCAAAGCCCUUCAGUGAGACACUAUCCCUGUGAGGAGGGUCGGAUAUUCAUCAGCUGUCUGUGGAGUUCCAGGCGCCCCAUGCACCGCCCAGGUGGGAGCGAGGGAGCUGCCAAGGGGAGCGACCAAAUGUGACAGCUGCCUCCACUCACAAGAAUGGCCUCCAGCUCCACGCACACCGGCCCUGUGUAUGUCCAGAAGCGCUGCCCAGAGCCCCCGAGAAGGCUGGGCCGUGCAGGGCACCAACCCCUGCUGGCUGCGCCUUGGUGCAAACACCAAGGUCAUGCAUCUCAUUGCCCUUGGUAAAAUCUAUUCAGGAGCAACAGCUGAAGUCUCUCACAAGACCCAGUUCUCUCAGCGGCUCCUGGGUGGAGAUGCAGUACCUGAUGCUUCCCAUUGGUUUCACUGUACAUUGGGUCUGAUCAGCCAGGGGUGGAGGUGCAGACUCUGCAAAGAAAGAUGAACUCCAAACAACGUUUUUUCUAACCUGGGCUGGGUAAAGUCCCUUCCUUCCAUGUGAGGUUGAUGAACUGUCCCUUUUACACUGGCUCAGCACCUGCCCUUAAACUUUAAAAUAUAUAUAAAAGGGAAGUGCAAAGCUACACUGAACAAAAAUCAAAAAAGCCCCAAUUUUGGAGACGAGGCGUAAGGAACUGAGCACUGGAAUGACAUCUGAGACCUUGACAUGCAUUUUUACAGUGAAUCUAAGCUACAAUAUUGGAAGAUCUAAUGCCAGUAAAAAAUGAUUGCUACUAUAAUGAUACACUUCUUUUGGCUGUAUAACACCUGAUGAGUGUUUGUGAAGUGCUUUGAAGUGCUUAGAUCAAAGGAAGCCUGAGACAAUCCACCCUGCAAGUUACUAUUAUACCUGUUUGCCACAGAGGUAAAGGGAGGCACAUUCAGAUGAAGAUGAGGCAGGGAGUGAUUGGCAGGGUCAGAAAUAAAUCCCAAUAGUUGGGCCUACUCAUGCCAAACACUAAACUGUAUCACCUGAGCCCUACUGGAUGCUUCCAGAUACGUCACUAACCUGAGAAUAACUCUUAUUAGAGACACUCAUUUUGGAAUUUUUUUCUUUUGGUUUGAUAAUUUUGGUGGGAACUUUUGAGUGAAACAUCUCAUCUAAGUGUGUAUAAUGAUCAAGCAUCAAGAGUCUUGCAAUUCACUUUAACUCUCUUUAUUUGUAGUUGUUGUCUCAGUGGUGGGUAUUUACACUGGAGCAGAAUUAAAUUGUCUUGUUCCAAAAAAUGUCCCGUUUGAAUUCUAUAUAUAUCUGCAGAUGAACAAGCUUGAAAUGUACACACUUGUAAUUCCUUUGGACAAUUAUUAUCCUCAUGCAUAAAGAAGGUAAUAGUAAAGAGAGAGCUUAGCCUGUACUGUGUUUCACAAACCUGGAAGAAUUCAUUACCAUUGCGUUACUGUGGCCCAUUAGAGAGACAUGUUUCCAAGGAAAUAAAAAGUAGUGCACACAGAGCACCUGGUGACUUCAUCCCAAUGGGUGCUAUGAAUUAAAGCAAGUUUUUGACACUGUAAUUAUACAUGGAGAUUUACAAGGCUACCACACUCAUGGAAAAUUGACAGGCUUGUAAUUCCUUUGGAGAAGUAUUAUCCUUACAUUAAAGAAGACACAAAUAAAGAGAAUCACAGGAUUAGUCCAUUUUUAUUGUUGACGCUUAGAUCCAAGGAUGCAAAUAUUUUCUAACCAGGCAUGUUACUAACCUUGUCUUGCAACACAGUGUAACAGGGAUCAGCCUAGAGCUCAGCCUGUGGUAGGAGGAGUCAGAAGUAUUGAGUUGUAUUUAUGUUUCUGCAACUGACCCCCCUGUGACCUUCAACUCAACGUGCCAUUUUUUCUAGGCCUAUUUAACAUAGUAAGGAAGUUAAGGCUGGAAGUUCUUCAGCAUACUCAGAACUCAAGAUUUCAAAGCCCCUCACAAAUACUCACUGGUGUUUCACACAUGCAAAGGGUUGAAUCCAUAGCAUAUUAAUACAUUCUUGUUGGGAUUAGCCACCUCUGCAUUGAGUAAUAGAGUCACUUAAAAAAAAAGGGAGGCCAAGGUCUCUCAUGUCAUUCUUUAAAUCUGAUCAUGAUCUAAAGCCACAAAAUCUGGAGCUAUUUAAUUUUCAUUCAAAUGUAGUUUUGCAUGUGGUAUUUUGUGAAACAUUUGUAUUGGAAAAUGCAGGCUCUCUCUUGGUGUAAAUCAGCACAGUUGCUUCAACUUCAAAGAUGUUCAAGGCAUUAAAUUUAAAGGAGGAUACUUCUGCCCUCUUCCCUGGCUAUGGAACCCACUCUUGGGGAUAUCUUUUACAUUCUAAACAACAUUCUGGUUCAGGCAGGAAUGUUUUCCGCAACAUGCCCCAUGGUUAGUCAGACUUUAUGUCAAAUCUCAUCACACAGCAAUCUCCUCCUUCCCCAAGAAUGAGUAAUUUUCAUUUCUUCUCGGCUUCUUGCGGGGCUCAGUCCCCUGCAUUGUCUUAUAAGAUUUCAGAUUCUUGCCUGCUCAUGGAUGGAGAGAUGUUUUCUGAUGCAGUAGAGAUUCCAAGACUUAACUUAUUCAUGUGUUUUUAUAUGAGGGAUCAGGGUGUUCUUCAAUAAUUAUCUUGUGUAGUUAUUUGGGUGCAGGAACUGGUGGAUUCAUGGGAAACAUAUUUCCUAUUAAUUGGAAAAAGAAUUAGGGCAUUUAAAUCUUUUUAGUAACCUCAGAAAGUCACUUCCCCAUAUUUCACUUAUCUGAAUUAGGAAUACAUUUCCCUAGGUUAGUAGAGAAAGGGCCAGUUCAGUGCUCUCCUACUUUAUUCUGAAGCAGCUGUUACUCCUCACUAUUGGAGACACAAAAAUUGAUGAAGAUGAGAAACGGUGUGCUCUAAUCUAGCAAUUCCUAUGUUCUUCUGAGCGAAAAAUCCACUGCUUCUCCUCAGAUGCUGUAAUUUAGUGUCACUCCAUGGAAGUCAGUGGACCUGAACUCAUUUUACCCCAGCUAAGGAGCAUGUCCUUAGUGAUUUCUUUGGAGAAAAGUAAAGUUUUCUGUGUAUUCAUCAGCACGUAUUGAUGACUCCCAAGCUUUGGAAACCCAAUGAGCCACACUCUGACACUGGACUCAACUCAUUUGCAUGAAGAGGUUAAAUCCUGAAAUGAAAGGAAGUGAUUACCAUGCUCCCAGCCAUGUUCUCUUUGAGAAAUGUCUAAAAUGGACCCUGAACCCCAGGUGUCCAUCAUGGAAACAGUGAUGCUUAUUCUAGUCGGUGUUUUUUAGACAAUCUUAUUGAUAGGAGCUCAAAGGGACCAGCUGGGAGGGAAGUUUAGUGCGAGUUGGAGAAGAAGCCUAGCAAGAGAAAAUAGGAACCAACACAUGGCCACAUACAUAGAGACUUAGGCCACUUCUGCUCUCUCUCUCGGGCCCCAUGUAGACCUCACUACAACUGUAAUCAAGCUGAAGCCUUUCACCGGCACUUGUACCUU